rnacentral:rRNA from 1 species
CCUACGGGAGGCAGCAGUGAGGAAUAUUGGUCAAUGGGCGCGAGCCUGAACCAGCCAAGUCGCGUGAGGGAAGACGGUCCUAUGGAUUGUAAACCUCUUUUGUCGGGGAGCAAACGCCGCCCCGCGUGGCGUUCCGAGAGUACCCGAAGAAAAAGCAUCGGCUAACUCCGUGCCAGCGGCCGCGGUAAUACGGAGGAUGCGAGCGUUAUCCGGAUUUAUUGGGGUUAAAGGGUGCGCAGGCGGCGGGUCAAGCCAGCGGUAAAAUUGAGAGGCUCAACCUCUUCGAGCCGGUGAAACUGGUUGUGUGGAGGGAGCGGGAAGGAUGGGGAAGGGGGGGUGGAGCGGUGAAAUGCAUAGAU